GACGAACCGUGCGAACGUUGUUCGGAAUCACUGGGCUUAAAGGGCGCGUAGGCGGGCCAUCAAGUCGGGGGUGAAAUACUUCAGCUUAACUGGAGAACUGCCUUCGAUACUGGUGGCCUAGAGGGAGGUAGGGGUCUGCGGAACUUCCGGUGGAGCGGUGAAAUGCGUUGAUAUCGGAAGGAACGCCGGUGGCGAAAGCGGCGGACUGGACCUCUUCUGACGCUGAGGCGCGAAAGCUAGGGGAGCAAACGGG
rnacentral:rRNA from 1 species